CAGUGGCUGCGCGACUGGCGGAUUGUGAUGGAGAACCAUCGUGGAACGCAGCCCUGAAUGCCGACCGCCUGGGCCCUAUAA
rfam:Ricinus communis cultivar Hale ctg_1100012299744, whole genome shotgun sequence.